rnacentral:rRNA from 1 species
AGUACGUAAAACCGUUCAGGGGUAAACCUANGAAACCCAAAAGAUCGAAAGGGGAGAUUCAUCGUCAGCGUCGCUGGCUUCGCGUCGGUGGGCGAUGUCCCGCGGUUUCUCGCGCGGGUAUGCUACCGUGCGCGCAUGUCCGNCNNCGUCGUCGUGCACUUCUUCCCUANUAGAACGUCGCGACCCGCUGGGUGUCGGUCUACGGCCAGGUGCGGUGUCUGUCGCGUCGCCGGUAAAAUGUCCAACUGCGUCNAGCCCGUCGCAAGCGCGCGCCAUGGUUACUCGGAGGCACGGACCAAGAGCCGUCGCCGGUCCUGGCCCGCUGUUGGCCGACGGUGAUCCUUUGACAGGCUUUACNGGGCGACGCGCAGGGGUUUCCCACGCACGUCCGCCUCAAUACCGGUCGNCGACGCUACUGCUUUCGGUACUUUUAGGACCCGUCUUGA